UACGUAGGGUGCGAGCGUUGUUCGGAAUUAUUGGGCGUAAAGAGUGCGUAGGCGGCUUGUCGCGUCUGAUGUGAAAGCCCGGGGCUUAACUCCGGGUCUGCAUUCGAUACGGGCAUGCUAGAGUUCGGUAGGGGAGAUCGGAAUUCCUGGUGUAGCGGUGAAAUGCGCAGAUAUCAGGAGGAACACCGGUGGCGAAGGCGGAUCUCUGGGCCGAUACUGACGCUGAGGAGCGAAAGCAUGGGGAGCGAACAGG
rnacentral:rRNA from 1 species